rnacentral:snoRNA from 1 species
CCGCUCACCGACGACGACAUGGUGUCCUACAUCCUGGCGGGACUCGACUACGACUACGUGUCCUUCGUCUCCACGAUCUGCUCGUACUCAUCAAAUCAAGGUGAGCGAGCUUUACUCGCAGCUGAUCAGCUUUGAAA